rnacentral:lncRNA from 1 species
CCACAUUACAUUAAAUAAACACAAUCUUCAUCUGUAUUUCAACGGUAUAUUCUUUUUUUUUUUUUUUUUUUUUUUAAUUUUUUAAAAUUUUCAUCAAACAAUACCUACCCAACUAACCCCGAUUACCUUCAAACAACCGAUCAGAAGACCGUUCUCCAACAUCAUCCAUUUUCCCAGGUGACUUAUUCUUCGACCAACUCGAACCGGUUCGACCCAUAAACGGUGGAGUCCAAGAGAAUCCCCUCCGGUCCGGCCGGUUAAACCAAUCAUAGCUCCUCGCAUUACCACUACUUCCCACACUUCUCGUUCUAUAUCCCCUCCUCCCACUACCCUCUCGAGUAAAAGUAACACCACAACUCGUAACCCGGCUUGGAGUUGAACCCACCAACCGGUUCCGCACUUCCUCCGGUAAUCUCAAAGUGAACCGCUCGUGAUUCUCUCCUUCUUGAACCAGUGAAUGACCUGUUGAAUGUGAGCGUGCAAACGGAACCCAGUUGCCAAUUUUAAACCCUGUUGAACUUGAUCGAACCGGUCGAGCCCGGUUCGGUGUAACUGAAUAAUUCACCUUUGGAGAUGGAGAACGAGACGUAACUGCAAUACCUGGACCUCUAAUAGGACUAAUUCGGGUCGGGUCAUCUGAAUCGGAUAAACUUGAAUCCAGUAUUUGGAUUGAAGCGAAAGAAGUAUCACCGGGUCUUGGAAUCAAAUUAGCCCGACAAACGGGACACGUGGAGUGAUUAACAAGCCAAGCAUCGACACAUUGAGAAUGAAACACGUGGCUACAAUUCGGAAUCAAACGCAGCGUUUCAUCGUCUUGAAACUCGUUUAAGCACACGGCGCAUUCUAGUGCAGCUCUUCCUAUUUUGAGUCCUUUCACGGUGGAGUAAACAAAAGUCGGAAACGUUUCAAUGAUUUCCGUCUCAAGUCCACGGUGUCUCCGGUGACUUCCGGCGAUCGGAAUAGAUAAAUCGAAUCUUCCUCUCAUUCUCUGUUCAGCGCACUGGCGUGUGUAGACUGAGAGAAAACCGAGGAUGAGAAACACGCCGAUUAAGAUGAUAAGCACAAUUGCCAUGGAUUUGUCGAAUUUGAGAGUGGUGAUUUUGUCUGGUGGUGGUGGUGGUGGUGGCAAUGAAUUCGGAAUCUGCGCCGUUGAAGGUUGCGGAGAAAGGAGGAUGAAGAGGAGGAGGAGGAGGUAGAGAAGGGCAUGAUUGGAAUUGAAGUGAAAAUUGAGUGGUAAAGUGUUCAUUUGCUGCUUUUGCAAGCAAAGAAAGAAUUAGAAGACUCUGUUUCUAAUCCUUAUCUUAAUUAUUAAUGAUGAUAGAGUACCCCGCUAAUUACUCUCCUUUGUACUCUUUUUUUCUGAUUGUUUAUGAUUUGCAUCUUCUUUUUGUUACUAAUAAAGGGUAAUAGAAAAAGUAGAUUAAUGAGGUGUUGACUUUUUUUUUAUAUGGAAAGGAAUUGUUGUUCAACUA